rnacentral:tRNA from 1 species
ACGGCGAAGCGCCGAAGAAGUGAGGCCCGCCGCCCUCGCACCGCCCCGCUGAUGCUGCACGGCUAUGCCCCCUCGC